rnacentral:lncRNA from 1 species
UUGUGGUGGUUUAGAUGAGUAUUCUCCUUAAGAUGACAACUUAUCUCUUCUUCUAAAAUCAACUAGACAAACCCUUUUGUUAUUUUUACCCUGAACUACGGGAUUUUAAUCCUCCAUUGGUACGUAGGCAGAAGACUUUAUGUCUUUUCAAAUCAAAAAGCAAUAAAACACUCUUCUCUUCUCAUCUCCCCGAUAUUUG